UACGAAGGGGGCUAGCGUUGUUCGGAAUCACUGGGCGUAAAGCGCACGCAGGCGGAUCGUUAAGUCGGGGGUGAAAUCCCGAGGCUCAACCUCGGAACUGCCUUCGAUACUGGCGAUCUUUGAGUCCGGGAGAGGUGAGUGGAACUCCGAGUGUAGAGGUGAAAUUCGUAGAUAUUCGGAAGAACACCAGUGGCGAAGGCGGCUCACUGGCCCGGUACUGACGCUCAGGUGCGGAAGCGUGGGGAGCAAACAGG
rnacentral:rRNA from 1 species